rnacentral:tmRNA from 1 species
GGGGGCGUAAAGGUUUCGACGGGGAUUUUGAACUGAAUUAAGCGAGUAGCGGAGUUGCACCGCUUUAAAAGUAACACUUAUAAAUUAAUCAACACUAAUAAUGUUGCUUUAGCAGCCUAAGUGCUGCUCGUUCCCUAUCAGAUAACCGCAGCUGAUAACGGGGCGUCGACUUUGCGGUAAAUGUGAGCGAAAAAUAGUCUUGUAUUUCGCCAUAAAUUAAAAGGACUACCUGAUUUAGAAGAUUGUUGUUUGUCGGCUUUAUUAGGGAAUUUAAAUAAUCAACUGCACUCGGAGAAAGAUUCAGGAACGAAUUUUCGGACAGGAGUUCGACUCUCCUCGCCUCCACCA